rnacentral:misc_RNA from 1 species
CACAGAAGAAGAGAACACGAAAGAAGCAGAAGCUUAACGCCAAUGUGAUUAAUAAUGAAGCUUAUGGUUCUUUUGCAGAGUUGGACUCGAUAAAGGUGGGGGAAAAUGCUGAAAAGCUAAGUGGCUCCUCAAGAAAUCCAAGUGCUGAUUUGAAGAAGAAACAUUAUAAUGAUGGCAAGCCUGGCCUUGUUGAGUCCGUUGUUGA